rnacentral:rRNA from 1 species
ACGGCAGCACGGACUUCGGUCUGGUGGCGAGUGGCAAACGGGUGAGUAAUAUAUCGGAACGUACCCUGGAGUGGGGGAUAACGCAGCGAAAGUUGCGCUAAUACCGCAUACGAUCUACGGAUGAAAGUGGGGGCUCGCAAGACCUCAUGCUCGUGGAGCGGCCGAUAUCUGAUUAGCUAGUUGGUAGGGUAAAAGCCUACCAAGGCUUCGAUCAGUAGCUGGUCUGAGAGGACGACCAGCCACACUGGGACUGAGACACGGCCCAGACUCCUACGGGAGGCAGCAGUGGGGAAUUUUGGACAAUGGGGGCAACCCUGAUCCAGCAAUGCCGCGUGAGUGAAGAAGGCCUUCGGGUUGUAAAGCUCUUUUGUCAGGGAAGAAACGGUGAAGGCUAAUACUCUUUGCUAAUGACGGUACCUGAAGAAUAAGCACCGGCUAACUACGUGCCAGCAGCCGCGGUAAUACGUAGGGUGCAAGCGUUAAUCGGAAUUACUGGGCGUAAAGCGUGCGCAGGCGGUUAUGUAAGUCAGAUGUGAAAUCCCCGGGCUCAACCUGGGAAUGGCAUUUGAGACUGCAUGGCUAGAGUGUGUCAGAGGGGGGUAGAAUUCCACGUGUAGCAGUGAAAUGCGUAGAUAUGUGGAGGAAUACCGAUGGCGAAGGCAGCCCCCUGGGAUAACACUGACGCUCAUG